GACGAACGCUGGCGGCGUGCCUAAUACAUGCAAGUCGAACGAGAGCAACCGGUGCUUGCACUGGUCAAUCUAGUGGCGAACGGGUGAGUAACACGUGGGUAACCUGCCCAUCAGAGGGGGAUAACAUCCGGAAACGGAUGCUAAAACCGCAUAGGUCUUCGAACCGCAUGGUUUGAAGAGGAAAAGAGGCGCAAGCUUCUGCUGAUGGAUGGACCCGCGGUGCAUUAGCUAGUUGGUGAGGGAACGGCUCACCAAGGCCGUGAUGCAUAGCCGACCUGAGAGGGUGAUCGGCCACAUUGGGACUGAGACACGGCCCAAACUCCUACGGGAGGCAGCAGUAGGGAAUCUUCCGCAAUGGACGCAAGUCUGACGGAGCAACGCCGCGUGAGUGAAGAAGGUUUUCGGAUCGUAAAACUCUGUUGUUAGAGAAGAACAAGUGCUAGAGUAACUGUUAGCGCCUUGACGGUAUCUAACCAGAAAGCCACGGCUAACUACGUG
rnacentral:rRNA from 1 species